rnacentral:rRNA from 1 species
UGGGGAAUAUUGCACAAUGGGCGCAAGCCUGAUGCAGCCAUGCCGCGUGUAUGAAGAAGGCCUUCGGGUUGUAAAGUACUUUCAGCGAGGAGGAAGGCGUUGUGGUUAAUAACCGCAACGAUUGACGUUACUCGCAGAAGAAGCACCGGCUAACUCCGUGCCAGCAGCCGCGGUAAUACGGAGGGUGCAAGCGUUAAUCGGAAUUACUGGGCGUAAAGCGCACGCAGGCGGUCUGUCAAGUCGGAUGUGAAAUCCCCAGGCUCAACCUGGGAACUGCAUCCGAAACUGGCAGGCUAGAGUCUUGUAGAGGGGGGUAGAAUUCCAGGUGUAGCGGUGAAAUGCGUAGAGAUCUGGAGGAAUACCGGUGGCGAAGGCGGCCCCCUGGACAAAGACUGACGCUCAGGUGCGAAAGCGUGGGGAGCAAACA